rnacentral:rRNA from 1 species
CUACGGGGGGCUGCAGUGGGGAAUAUUGGACAAUGGGCGAAAGCCUGAUCCAGCCAUGCCGCGUGUGUGAAGAAGGCCUUCGGGUUGUAAAGCACUUUCAGUGGGGAAGAAAGCCUUGGGGCUAAUACCCUCGAGGAAGGACAUCACCCACAGAAGAAGCACCGGCUAACUCCGUGCCAGCAGCCGCGGUAAUACGGAGGGUGCGAGCGUUAAUCGGAAUUACUGGGCGUAAAGCGCGCGUAGGCGGUCUGAUAAGCCGGUUGUGAAAGCCCCGGGCUCAACCUGGGAACGGCAUCCGGAACUGUCAGGCUAGAGUGCAGGAGAGGAAGGUAGAAUUCCCGGUGUAGCAGUGAAAUGCGUAGAGAUCGGGAGGAAUACCAGUGGCGAAGGCGGCCUUCUGGACUGACACUGACGCUGAGGUGCGAAAGCGUGGGUAGCAAACAGGAUUAGAUACCCGUGUAGUC